rfam:Marine metagenome ctg_1101668667375, whole genome shotgun sequence.
GGGUGAAGUUCAGUCCCGAUACUGUAGGGGUCCCGGCCCUGAUCAGGGCCGAUCCUGUC